rnacentral:rRNA from 1 species
ACGGGAGGCAGCAGUGAGGAAUAUUGGUCAAUGGACGGAAGUCUGAACCAGCCAAGUCGCGUGCGGGAUGAAGGCCCUACGGGUCGUAAACCGCUUUUGUACGGGGAUAAAGUCACCCACGUGUGGGUGUUUGUAGGUACCGUAAGAAUAAGGAUCGGCUAACUCCGUGCCAGCAGCCGCGGUAAUACGGAGGAUCCGAGCGUUAUCCGGAUUUAUUGGGUUUAAAGGGAGCGUAGGCGGCCUUUUAAGUCAGCGGUCAAAUGUCAGCGCCCAACGCUGGCCUGCCGUUGAUACUGAUGGGCUUGAAUACACACAAGGAAGGUGGAAUUCGUCGUGUAGCGGUGAAAUGCUUAGAUAUGACGAAGAACUCCGAUUGCGAAGGCAGCCUUCUGGAGUGCGAUUGACGCUGAGGCUCGAAAGCGCGGGUAUCAAACAGGAUUAGAUACCCUGGUA